CAAUCUAUACAGGCACUGGAAUUGAGCAGAGUAAUUAUAAUAAACAGUUAAGAAACACCAUUCCAUUUUAGACUAUGAGAUGCCAUGGUUUUUUACUAAAAUCACUUGAGUCAUACAACAGAAAAGCAGGAGAGACGUUCGAGACAAAACAAGAUCGUUCAUCAUCGCUGGAGGGGAAGAGAGAUUUUACAGCCAGCUUUAAAAUUAAUCCCAAAUGAGAGAGUCGCCUUCCAAACGAAUUGAAAAUUGGCAGGUCACCUCUCUCCGCGAAGGGACUGUUUCUGUCUACCCACAGCGGAGGGCGCUAGGACCCGGCGCAGAGGCAAGAGGUCGAAAGCAGAGAAGACAAUAAUUUGUUCCAUUGUAAUGAGAACUGUAAGUGUUGGCAAAGGGGAGUUUUUCACAGGCCGCCCUUCUUUCACUAACGAUUUUCAGUGCCUCCUGUUAGCCAACCCGGACGAUUUGUUCAGUUAUUGCAACGGUCAACAGAUCUGAUCUUGCCAAACUCCCCACCCCCCACCCUGAAAAACCCAACCCACCAAGAGUUUAAAUUAAAAAUAUAAGGGAAGGCAAAGCCCAACUCAUCAUCAGCCUAUACAGGAGCAGGAGGGGUUCUGGAGUUGACUGCAUGCAGGAAAUUUCUCACAUCCUGAGUUUUCCCUGCCUGCCUGCUCGCUCGCUCGCUCUGUAACUCAGUGUUCAUGGGGCUGUCCUCCAGUCCCAGCUGAUGAAAAGUUGGGUCUCUCAGCCGGGGCUAAGAUGUCCAAGCCUGCCCGGGCAGAGCAGCAAGGCAAGCCUCCUGCUGUCCACCCUGCAAGCCCGCUCUUCUUCCUACGCCUCAGCCUGACCUGCCUCUUACUCGCCCCCUCUGCCCAGGCUCAAGGGGAUGAAAAAAGUAAAUUGGAAUUCUCUAGGCAAGGGACUUCAACCAACCAACCCGAGCAUUAUGGAAUAGUGAUCCCUUAUUUCCUGAUUGGUAAACAAUGGAAGCCAAUGAAGGAUUUUUAUUUACAGACUCACCCAGCAGAGCUGAAAUGUCUUGUACAGGCUGGAAGUGAGGAACUUGUCAUCAUCCUGGAGAGAAAUGAGUAAGUAGCUCUAAUUUGUAUUCCUUGCAGUCUAGUGGUGUUAGUAAGUAGAUUACAGAGUUUAAAUUGAUGGGUUAGGUUUGUAAUGUAUGGGGAACUAUGGCUCAAUCUCUUAUCUAGCUGUAGAAAAAUAGACUCAUAUAAACUUAUUUCUAAGAAAUUGUUCCCUCUUCUUUAAAAUAAGAUGAUUCUGUGAAAGUACAUGUAUAAUACAAAUAUUUGUUUUGGAAUUUCUUUAUGCAUUCUUUGCUUCUCCUUCCCUCACUGUAUAACAGACAAUUCCAUUUUCUUGAACCCAUUGCUCUCCUUAUUGCUUUCUUUUGAUGCCACUAGGGAUGGAUUUGUUUUUUUUUUUAAUGUUAUUUUAUUGUAUUGUAUUUUGCUUCUUGGGCUAUCAGAAGAUCAGAAGGGGCAUCAAGGCUUCUUCAUUUAACAGAAGUGAGUGAGAAAUGAACUGGAGACACACACUGGGUCAGAAACAGGCCAGUCUAAGCAGUGACAUCUAGAAAUGGAAUUUUUGGAUGUUAUGGACUACAGAUACCAUAACAGCCAAUUUGGGGAGUUCUUCCUAUCAUAUAGACAUGUUAUAAAUACCUCAGUGCUAUGCACCUGGCAGACAGGCCUAAAUUAGAGGACUUUGAGAUAUAGUGAGGUCAAACUCUGCCCGAGUGUCCUGCUCAGAAAGAAAGCUCCCAGCUGGCACUGGGCCAGGAAUAGGAUAUUUGGGCGGAUCUUGACUCUGCGCUCCUUGAAAGAAAGGUCAGACAUGUGUGAAAUAAAUAAAUAAUAAGACAAAUGUAUGUACA
rnacentral:lncRNA from 1 species